rnacentral:rRNA from 1 species
UACCUGACAAUGUUUCUAAGUAUAAGCACUUUAUACUGUGAAACUGCGAAUGGCUCAUUAAAUCAGUUAUCGUUUAUUUGAUAGUACCUUACUACAUGGAUACCUGUGGUAAUUCUAGAGCUAAUACAUGCUAAAAACCUCGACUUCGGAAGGGGUGUAUUUAUUAGAUAAAAAACCAAUGCCCUUCGGGGCUCCUUGGUGAUUCAUAAUAACUUAACGAAUCGCAUGGCCUUGCGCCGGCGAUGGUUCAUUCAAAUUUCUGCCCUAUCAACUUUCGAUGGUAGGAUAGUGGCCUACCAUGGUGGCAACGGGUAACGGGGAAUUAGGGUUCGAUUCCGGAGAGGGAGCCUGAGAAACGGCUACCACAUCCAAGGAAGGCAGCAGGCGCGCAAAUUACCCAAUCCCGACACGGGGAGGUAGUGACAAUAAAUACUGAUACGGGGCUCUUUUGGGUCUCGUAAUUGGAAUGAGUACAAUCUAAAUCCCUUAACGAGGAACAAUUGGAGGGCAAGUCUGGUGCCAGCAGCCGCGGUAAUUCCAGCUCCAAUAGCGUAUAUUAAAGUUGUUGCAGUUAAAAAGCUCGUAGUUGAACCUUGGGUCUGGCUGGCCGGUCCGCCUCACCGCGAGUACUGGUCCGGCUGGACCUUUCCUUCUGGGGAACCUCAUGGCCUUCACUGGCUGUGGGGGGAACCAGGACUUUUACUGUGAAAAAAUUAGAGUGUUCAAAGCAGGCCUUUGCUCGAAUACAUUAGCAUGGAAUAAUAGAAUAGGACGUGCGGUUCUAUUUUGUUGGUUUCUAGGACCGCCGUAAUGAUUAAUAGGGAUAGUCGGGGGCGUCAGUAUUCAGCUGUCAGAGGUGAAAUUCUUGGAUUUGCUGAAGACUAACUACUGCGAAAGCAUUCGCCAAGGAUGUUUUCAUUAAUCAGGGAACGAAAGUUAGGGGAUCGAAGACGAUCAGAUACCGUCGUAGUCUUAACCAUAAACUAUGCCGACUAGGGAUCGGGCGGUGUUUCUAUGAUGACCCGCUCGGCACCUUACGAGAAAUCAAAGUUUUUGGGUUCUGGGGGGAGUAUGGUCGCAAGGCUGAAACUUAAAGAAAUUGACGGAAGGGCACCACAAGGCGUGGAGCCUGCGGCUUAAUUUGACUCAACACGGGGAAACUCACCAGGUCCAGACAAAAUAAGGAUUGACAGAUUGAGAGCUCUUUCUUGAUCUUUUGGAUGGUGGUGCAUGGCCGUUCUUAGUUGGUGGAGUGAUUUGUCUGCUUAAUUGCGAUAACGAACGAGACCUCGGCCCUUAAAUAGCCCGGUCCGCGUUUGCGGGCCGCUGGCUUCUUAGGGGGACUAUCCGCCUCAAAGCCCCGAGAAAGCCCA